GGGGAUUUGGCUCAGUGGUAGAGCACUUGCCUAGGAAGCGCAAGAUCCUGGGUUCGAUUCCCCAGCCCCG
rfam:Rattus norvegicus chromosome 18, whole genome shotgun sequence.